GGUUAAGUGACUAAGCGUACACGGUGGAUGCCUUGGCAGUCAGAGGCGAUGAAGGACGUAGUAACUUGCGAUAAGCGUAGAUGAGGCAGUAACAGCCACUUGAGUCUACGAUUUCCGAAUGGGGAAACCCACUGGCAUAAGCCAGUAUCAUUGAGUGAAUACAUAGCUCAAUGAAGCGAACCGGGAGAACUGAAACAUCUAAGUACCCCGAGGAAAAGAAAUCAACCGAGAUUCCGAAAGUAGCGGCGAGCGAAAUUGGAUUAGCCCUUAAGCUUUACAUGUGUUAGACGAACGGUCUGGAAAGUCCGACGAUACAGGGUGAUAGUCCCGUAGUUGACGAUGCAUGUUCAGUGAAAUCGAGUAGGGCGGGACACGUGUUAUCCUGUCUGAAUAUGGGGGGACCAUCCUCCAAGGCUAAAUACUCCUGACUGACCGAUAGUGAACCAGUACCGUGAGGGAAAGGCGAAAAGAACCCCUGUGAGGGGAGUGAAAUAGAACCUGAAACCGUGUACGUACAAGCAGUAGGAGCACCUUCGUGGUGUGACUGCGUACCUUUUGUAUAAUGGGUCAGCGACUUAUAUUCAGUGGCAAGGUUAACCAUCUAGGGGAGCCGUAGGG
rnacentral:rRNA from 1 species